UACGGAGGGUGCAAGCGUUGCUCGGAAUUAUUGGGCGUAAAGGGUAGGUAGGUGGUCUCGUUUGUCUGAGGUGAAAGCCUUGAGCUUAACUCAAGAAGUGCCUUAGAAACGGCGAGACUAGAGGUCUGGAGAGGGUCGUGGAAUUCCCGGUGUAGCGGUGAAAUGCGCAGAUAUCGGGAGGAACACCGGUGGCGAAGGCGGCGUUCUGGACUGCAACUGACACUGAGGAACGAAAGCCAGGGGAGCAAACGGG
rnacentral:rRNA from 1 species